rnacentral:rRNA from 1 species
GAUGAACGCUGGCGGCGUGCCUAAUACAUGCAAGUCGAGCGAACAGAUAAGGAGCUUGCUCCUUUGACGUUAGCGGCGGACGGGUGAGUAACACGUGGGUAACCUACCUAUAAGACUGGGAUAACUUCGGGAAAACGGAGCUAAUACCGGAUAACAUUUGGAACCGCAUGGUUCUAAAGUGAAAGAUGGUUUUGCUAUCACUUAUAGAUGGACCCGCGCCGUAUUAGCUAGUUGGUAAGGUAACGGCUUACCAAGGCGACGAUACGUAGCCGACCUGAGAGGGUGAUCGGCCACACUGGAACUGAGACACGGUCCAGACUCCUACGGGAGGCAGCAGUAGGGAAUCUUCCGCAAUGGGCGAAAGCCUGACGGAGCAACGCCGCGUGAGUGAUGAAGGGUUUCGGCUCGUAAAACUCUGUUAUUAGGGAAGAACAAAUGUGUAAGUAACUGUGCACGUCUUGACGGUACCUAAUCAGAAAGCCACGGCUAAUUACGUG